GGUAAUUCUAGACUUUUGUCGAAAGAACAUCUCCUCAAUCUCACGAAGGAAAGACCACUUUUGAUGGAGUUCCUUUUCAGCACGAAACGAGUCUUGGCAUGGAUCCUGAAGAGCUUGUACCUGCGCACGUUGUAACAAACUGGACCAAUAUAGCGGAGAUCGAAGACACCCAGUUGUAGGAGACAGUCUUGCAGUUGGUACAUCAGGGAGUCAUGCACAGAGACAGUGGGACUAGAAUGCUCAUACGGGUGAAUAUUCUGAUUGAGAUCUCCUCCAAUGAUCCAGUUACAGUUGUCCAAAUCAAACCGAGACUGCAGUUGAAUCAGCUCUGCACAUAGGUCAGUUCUUUCAUCACUAAGGUUCGAAGCAUAGUGACUGGCUAGCUGAAGCAUAGGUCAGUUCUUUCAUCACUAAGGUUCGAAGCAUAGUCUCUGAUAUAGUUGCCACCAGGUUAGAAAUUCAACCUCAAAGUGACUGGCUAGCUACUCUAAAUCAGAUGACAGCGCUCAACUUACCAAAGCAUCACCGUAAGCUGGUUCUGAUGGCUUGGCAGGCGACUCUAUACUGGCUUUGGAAUGAGAGGAACAAUCGAAUGCAUGCAAACGUCUUCCGUCCGGUUGAUUCAAUCUUCAAACUGAUUGAUCGGCAACUGAUCAACAAGGUGCAGAGCUUCAGAGAAUCAAACCCCUUACUUUCCUCAAGGAUGAUGCAGACUUGGCUACUAUUAUCUUGAUCUGAGCAUCGCCUUCUUGCUCCUCCAUCAGCGACUCUCGUCUUCUCCGCUAGAGACCUUUUGGCUACUGAAAUAUUACUUGGGCUGGGCUACUUUUUCUAUUUUCAUCUGGGCUUUGAUGGGCUCUGAAAAUUAGGUUCUUUGUGUGAUUCUAACUGGGCUAAUUUCUAUAAAAGUUUUGGGUCU